GCCCGGGUUUGUAUUUAUGGCAGGCCCAAACCUGUGGGCCUGUCAUGUCAGAGCAUAUACUGUGACCACAAAACAUUGCCGUGCCUCCUAUCCUGUACAUAGGCAUCUGCACUGAAGUGGGUUGAAAAUGG
rnacentral:snoRNA from 1 species